rnacentral:misc_RNA from 1 species
GAAGUGCGAUAAGCAAUGCGAAUUGCAGAACCGUGAGUCAUCAGAUUUUUGAACGCAACUGGCGCCGGCUGGUCCUCCAGUCGGCAUGCUUGUUUCAGUGUCUCGUUCUCUCCUCACCCAAAUCAUAAUGCGGGAGAUGCCCUUCUCCUGCCAAGCGCGAAAGCACUCUGUGCCCUGCAAGCGGCCUCCGGGUCGCGCUCAAUGCAGCAGUCACAUUGCUCACAGUGUGAACUCGUUGAGAGCAGGGGCAGCGCAGCUCCGGCUGCCAGGGCUUAGACGCCCCACAACUUACCUGGCAUCUGAAAUCAAGCAGGACCACCCGCUGAACUUAA